AUCCUUUUGUAGUUCAUGAGCAUCAUGAUUGGGUGUUUAUGCACACAUGUGAGAUCUGCCACUCUCUAAACCUUGUUACAACAUUGGCACAUUACCCGUCUAACC
ensembl:snoRNA